GAUUUAUAUCAAUUGUCAGGGUAUUAUUAUGGUGCCUGCCAGUGGCGCUUUUUUCGGGUAUUUAAAAUUUUGAAAAGAUAGCAGUUACUGAGAACCUUGAUAUUUUCACUCCACGCGUCCUUGGAAAGGUUUGUGAACCUUCAACGAGCGUCCUUUCUUUUUCUUAUUAGCAUAUUUUGGGUUGUGUACUUUUAUCAAAUUUAAGCAUUUUCUCUUUCAUCAUUUGGGUUUUCCUUUGGAUCUUUGUUCUCCCGAAAAUUCCUUUGCUGUCUGCUGUGUUCUAUCAUUCUCUAGUGACCGAAGUUGACGAUGUUCCUCUUUGUUCUUCGGUGGUCUUCUUUCACCGCGGUUGUUCCUCGGGGAAUUCCUGCACUUCAAUACUUUUAUCUUCGUCACCUUGUUUUUCUUGAGUAUCGUCAACAGUAAGUCCCUUGUUCUUUUUCCCCUUCUUUUUUGUAGCCAUGAGUGGGUGUGAGGAUAGCCAAACCAACUUUUAGGAAACAAGAGUCUCGCACUGCCGGUGGGGCGAGUAGUAUGAGUGUGAGUGUUACUUCGAACUUGUCUGGGAUAGAGAGAGGUUUUAAGCGAGUCAUGGCUUUAGUGCAAAAUCCAUUUGUUACAGAGCCUUUAGGGGAGAGUCUAGAGGGGUUAACGACGGUCCCUAGGUCAAAGAAAAGUGUUAGAGAGAUACCUUGUGGAUUGACUAAAGGGCAGAUGGAUCGCCUUCGCACCACCUUCAAGAUUCCUUAGGGAUAUACCUUUAGGUUACUAAACCAUGGGACUUUUACAGAUCAACCUUUGAGUGACUCCAAUAGGAUAUUGUAUGUGGAAGAUCUGAAGUCCAGUCUCCACUUUCCGAAAGACAAGCUAUAUGCCGAAGUUCUUAGGGAAUAUAAUAUUCCUCCGUGCCAACUGCGUCCGAACUCCUGGAAGGUGCUCUGUGGGCUCCAAAUUUUGGGCGAGGUUCACAGAUUCAGAUUCACUUGUAGGAUGGUUAGGGAGUUAUAUCCCUUGGUGUUUAAGAAGGGUUUCGACCACUUUAGUUUCUAGAGGGGGAGGAGGAUCAUUGAUCUUCCCCCUUCAAUCAAGAAUUGGAAACAAUUAUUUUUUAUAGUGUCUAAGAAGGGUUGGAGCGAUCUUCCAAAGGAGCGGGUGACCUGUCGAGCAUGAUUCUUGAGGAGGAGUUGCUCGAACUCUAUUCACGAGAGAGAGAAUACAUCGAGACAUUGUAUUAUGCGAGCCCUGUUUCUGGCAUUAAGCUCAUUCAAAUAUAUGAGACUUAGGAGCCUCUUCCUGAACAGAAAAAGAGAAAGAGAAAAAUUCAUAGAUCUCGAUCCCCUAACACAGAGAUGAAGUCCAUGGUAUAAUGUAUGAAGGAAUUGAAGGCACAAAAGAAUAAACAGCCUUCUGCCUCUUCGGUAUCAGGGGAAUCGAAGGGUCAUUCUCGGUGAAGGAGAACUUACAAAAAGUCUUAAAAGCUCCAUCACCUCUUGCCCUGAGGGUUGAGGAGAUAAAGUAAUAUUUGAGGCGGGGGGAGCUCACCCUUCUAAACGACUAAAGUUAACAGAGGAGAUUACUCAAAUUACUGAGGUGGUGGAGAAGAAGUAUAAAGAAAAUGCUUCAGUGAGGAACCCUUCUAUUGCCUCGGACGUCAUGUGGGCUCUCCAGUUACCCAAUGAUUCGGAAGUCUUUAACGAGCUUACUGAUGCGGAAAUCACUAGUAGUGCUCAUGGGCAUCUAGCUAUGGCCUCUUAAGCUGUCUUCGCUUUGCUUUAUCGAAUGCUAGAGUAUCGAGACUGGGUGAAAGGUGUUUGGCAGUCUGCCAAGGCGAAGUGGGAGGCGAAAGCUAAGGCCGAAUUUGAGAAGUUGAAGGCCAACCACCAAGCCUCUCUAGACAUAGAAAAACAGAAUCAUUUACCACACGAAUCUGUUUUGAAUGCCAAAAGAGAUUCCUUGGCUUUCGAGCCGGAGGAGGCAAAUGGGGUUGUGAAGAAAAGCCGACAGGAUACUCUUCAUCUUGAAGGAGAGCUCAGGAAGGAGAAGGCCGUCAUAGAGGGGCUCAAAGAAAAGUUGCUGGUCAAACUUAUCUCCUAUUAGGAGAAGGUAGCUGUUGAGGUUUGGAGGCGAUUCCCCAAGCCGGACCUGGAGUUUAUCGAUGAAAUAUAUCCCGACAAGGAUCCUGCUCCUGAAGUAGAAAGUGGUGAUCCUCUUUCGACUCCUAGCGGUGAUCUUGAGGCAUCCCCCCCUCUUCCUACCGUAGAUCUUCCAGCUCCUCCUCCUCCCCCCUAAGGCGAUCUUGUUACUCCUCUAGAAGUUGUUCUUUUUAUGAACAACUAUGUAAAAAGUAGUGUAGUGGACAACGUUCAGGAGUGAUUUGCUGGAGAUUUUCACCUUGUGUAAAUAAUUUUAUUUAGUCAAUAUGAUUUCUCUUUUCUUC